UACGUAGGGGGCAAGCGUUGUCCGGAUUUAUUGGGCGUAAAGAGCGUGUAGGCGGCCCGACAGGUCCGUUGUGAAAACUCGAGGCUCAACCUCGAGACGUCGAUGGAAACCGUCGGGCUAGAGUCCGGAAGAGGAGAGUGGAAUUCCUGGUGUAGCGGUGAAAUGCGCAGAUAUCAGGAAGAACACCCGUGGCGAAGGCGGCUCUCUGGGACGGUACUGACGCUGAGACGCGAAAGCGUGGGGAGCGAACAGG
rnacentral:rRNA from 1 species